CUCUAGAGAGACCGCCGGUGAUAAACCGGAGGAAGGUGUGGAUGACGUCAAGUCAUCAUGCCCCUUACAUCCUGGGCUACACACGUACUACAAUGCUACGGACAAAGGGCAGCAAGUUCGCGAGGACAAGCAAAUCCCAUAAACCGUAGCUCAGUUCAGAUCGUAGGCUGCAACUCGCCUACGUGAAGGAGGAAUCGCUAGUAAUCGCAGGUCAGCAUACUGCGGUGAAUACGUUCCCGGGCCUU
rnacentral:rRNA from 1 species